AUAGCGUAUAUUAAAGUUGCUGCGGUUAAAAAGCUCGUAGUUGGAUUUUGGAACCUGAACGUUUGGUCCGGCUCUGCCGCGUACUGAUCGUUCGGUUCUUCUGUCUGGAGACUCCUUGUCCCUUCUUAGCUGAAGGGCUUGGGGGAUCUAGGACUUUUACUUUGAACAAAUUAGAGUGCCCAACGCAGGCCUAUGCCUUGAAUACAUUAGCAUGGAAUAACGUAUAGGACUUUGGUUCUAUUUUGUUGGUUUUAAGGACCGAAGUAAUGAUUAAUAGGGACAGUUGGGGGCAUUAAUAUUUAAUUGUCAGAGGUGAAAUUCUUAGAUUUAUGAAAGAUUAACUUCUG
rnacentral:rRNA from 1 species